GUGGGGAAUAUUGGGCAAUGGGGGAAACCCUGACCCAGCAACGCCGCGUGAGGGAAGAAGGUUUUCGGAUUGUAAACCUCUGUUCUUGGGGAAGAGCAGAAGACGGUACCCAAGGAGGAAGCCCCGGCUAACUACGUGCCAGCAGCCGCGGUAAUACGUAGGGGGCGAGCGUUGUCCGGAAUGAUUGGGCGUAAAGGGCGCGUAGGCGGCUGUGUAAGUCAGUAGUGGAAGUCCAGCUUUUAAGGUUGGAAGUGCUAUUGAAACUGUGCAGCUUGAGUGCAGGAGAGGUUAUCGGAAUUCCCGGUGUAGCGGUGAAAUGCGUAGAGAUCGGGAGGAACACCAGUGGCGAAGGCGGGUAACUGGACUGCAACUGACGCUGAGGCGCGAAAGUGUGGGGAGCAAACAGGAUUAGAAACCCCAGUAGUCC
rnacentral:rRNA from 1 species